UAAUAAACUAAAUAUAAAUGAAAUUAUUUCAAAUAUUAAGAUUUGCAGGCGAGAAUUCAAUAUUUUGGAGCUAUCUCCAUUAAAUAUGUUUAAUUUUCGAAUAGAACAAGAUUAUAUUAAGGGAAGGAAGAACAAUGCUUAAAAUCAGACUAAGAUAUAUUUUAUAUGAGAAAUUUGAAGAUUUGCACUCAAAAAGUGUCUAUUGUCAUUAUUAUUUGAUAGAAUGUAUAAUAAAAAACGUUGAUGGGGCAGUUGCAAGUUAAACAUUAAAUUUAUCAGGUUAAAUUUUAUUCUGGAACAGCACAUCUAGAGGACCUAGAGCAACUGUUUCAGGCAAAUUAAAGUUAUUGAUCAAGUUAUAGAAGACACUUCAAUGUUACCAUCGAUGAACAUGAAGUCUGAGAAGUCUCGGCUGGAUCCAUCUUGAAUCGCAAUACAUUUGAAAACAAAUAUGAAACUUGAGCUGACAACUCUUAAAUUGAAAAAAGAUUUGAAGAGUACCUUAUGCCUCCAAUGUAAAAGCAGCCAACGUUUCCGUAUGAAAGUGUUAUCAAAGAUAAGGAUGGAAAGGGUGAAUUUCAUUACAAUUCAAUAUCCUGAUGUUUCUUUUGUUGAAAAAAUAAAUAAAGUAUAAAAAAUGAAUACACCAAACCAAG